rnacentral:misc_RNA from 1 species
AACGGCUCCAACGAUUUUGUUUAAAUUUAUACCUAAAAUAGUCAUUGAUAAGCUCUAUCAUCUUUAAGCUCAAAAUUUGAGAAAAUGUGAUUAUUCAAAUGCAAACUUAAUGAGAGAGGUCUAUUACAUCAUUCACUAGAAGAGAUAGCAGAAUUGAUCUCGUCAGCUGAUCAAUUUUAAUUUAAUAUAUUUCCAAAAUUUUCAUUACGGCAAGGAAAGUUGUGUGAGUGCGCCACACCAGAUUUUUUACUAGUUUACUAGUUCAGCAAAAUAGUCCCUGAUGUUUUAUUUUGUCAGCUGUUAUCGUGUCAGGUGGACAGCUUGGAUCUGCAUAGAAUAAUACUCCUAUCACGCAAUACUCCUAAACUAAAAAAUAACCAAGAUACUUAAAACAGUAUAAACAGCGUCAAUUAAUUUAUAACAUGGAUGAGAACAAGGAUACUGCAGGAAACAAAACCGAUGAAGAACUUGAGUGUGAAAAGAAGCUAAUCAACCUGUUUAGACAUCCGUCACUUAGAGAUGAUCUAAUAUCUUUAUUCAUCGUAAAAAUGUUUGAAUCUGUAGUGAAAAGUUGGGAAGGCUAUCCUUGUGUUGAAAAAUUGAAAGCCAACCCACCCAACAAAGGAUCAGAAAAAAUUAGUACAGAAUUCGUGCCAUUAAGUGAUGCCAAAGUCAACGACGAAAAAUGGGAAAAGAAUGAUUCUGUUACCGAACAAUCAACAAAGCAAGAAAUUCUUCAAAAAUAUUUGGAUGUGAAGAUGAGUUCAUUAGUUGAACAAGAACUGAGGAAUAGACACUUCUCAGUUGAAUCGAUGAUUCCAGAGCUAACUUGGAUCACUGAAGCAAAUGGAGAUAUGAAUCAACCAAUUGAUGACUGGAAAAGGUACAAGGACGAUCAAAUAGCGAAGAUUGAAUUUCGCAAUGGGAAUGUGUACAAAGGUCGAGUGUCCAGGCAUGUGAUGCACGGCGAGGGAGAGUUUAUUUGGCUCGAUGGAACUUCAUAUAAGGGUAGUUUCGACACUGGUCACAUAACUGGCAAUGGAGUGGUGACGUGGCCUACGCAGUCGUGGUACAAAGGUGAAUUGGUGAAAGGAUAUCGACAGGGGAACGGCCUGCUGGUUGUGCCAGGACGGUUGGCAUUCGCCGGCAGUUGGGCCAAUGGAGUGAGGUAUGGACCAGGACUCCUGCUGCAGGACUCAGAGCCGACGCGCGGCUACUGUGACACCACGUGGAGGAGGGAUGUGUGCCAUGGCCUCGGCACCAGGGUCUAUCCUUCGGGCGCCGUUUUCCAUGGACAUUGGCAAGAUGGAAAGCGGCAUGGAUUUGGAGUCAUCAAUUGGCCGAAUGGAGAUAUGUACAGAGGAGACUGGAAGAAUGAUAGAAUGCAUGGUUUGGGAGAGUUCACUUGGUCGCUUGGAGCAGCCACGUCACACAAGUCGUCUAUCUCUUUCCAGAAUAGGUACUACGGUACGUGGGUUGACGGCUCCAGACACGGCAUUGGAAUACUGGAAACUGAUAGUGGAAUGAUUUUGAAAUGCAAAUGGAAGAUGGAUAUGAAACACGGUUAUGGAGAAAUAAUUUGCAACAAUGGCUUUCUUUUGAAAGGCGAUCCGCUGUUUGCCAAUGACCAUCUUUUGGACCCCAUUUCCAACAGUAGACACGCUUCGAUCUCUACAAAAACCUGCCUAUUGAAUGCCCAUUUUAUCCAAAAAGGGAAGAAGUUGAAGAAGCAAAAUGUCCAGACCCAUUUAUCCUGUGAGUCUAUUGAUUUUUGCUAUCAUGUGGAUCGAUAUAUGCAGAACAAGUGGAAUUUGAAACAGUUCGAAAUCGAAAAGAAACUCGAGGACGAAUCAAAAGCCGUUGGAAGAUUUGUUGAAUUUGAAGUGAAAACGCCGAAAACUCAACUUUAUUCUGGCAAUGAUUCUAUGACAAACAGAACAUUCGAGGGAUGCUUUGAAGAGAAGUGGUUGCGAAAUAUCAUAUUGAGAAAUCUACCGCUUUUGAAAAAAGUUUACUUUGAUUAUGCAACCAUACUUUGCAAGUAUUCGACAAAAUCAUGGAGCUCCAAGAUUGCAAUCAUCCGUUUAUUUUUCUGGCAAAUUCUUAGAGACUGUAAAAUUCAGCUCACGGAGAAGUCAGUAGCUGAAUUUGAUAUUUUAAGAACAAUCACUUUGCCCUCUUGAAAGAUCAUCGAAACCCAUUCGAGCGCCUCAGCUUCUUCCAAUUCCUACAUUACCUUAUAGAGAUCUCGUGGCAUUUGUAUGGCAAAUAUGGAGAGAGACAACUCAAGACUCCGGGAGCUCUAGCAUCGGCUCUAGAGAAAUUCAUCGUUGCAGAUUUGAAGCAGAGUAUUGGAAAUAAUUCAGGUUCGGUUUUCAAAGAUUCCAGAAAUCUUUGCUUCAUGAGAGAAAUUUUUGGUCUUUACCAAAGCCUCCAGUCAGAUUUAACUGCGAGACAAUUGUUGAAUGCAAUUUUGAACUGGAAGAAUAAUUCAUAUUUGAAGAAUGUACAGGAAAUGUCCCAUGAUAUAAUAAAACAAUAUGACAUUUCUUGAGCUUUAUGAAAUUCUUCUCUUGUGUGCUGUUGAAUGCUUUGAAUUCAAAAAGAAGCAAGAACGCAGGAAACAAGCAAUUGAAAUAAAACUAUCGCAAAAACCAAAAGAAGAAAGACGGACCUCUUUGAAAAAAACAAGGGUGUCAAGAGAUAACUCAGCUAAAGCUCUGAAAAUCUCUAAAAAACCUUAAAAUUCAUGUUAUGACUCUUUUGCUAGUUUAGAAAAGUUUUAACAUUUUAUGACCUUGGCUAUUUACUGCCAAAGUCCAUGUAAGAUUUCAAUUUCUAUUCGAUCAUAGUUUUAUUGCUGUACUACUGCGAUUAUUUUGUUUCAUGAAUAUAAAAUUUGUAAUAAAUCUCCAUACACA